AGUUUAUCUUCUAGAAGCUAGCAUCAAGGAAUGGGAGUUUGGCUGCUCACCCUGGGUGAUUUGUCAUUGAUUCACUUGUAAUGUGUUGUAGUUUGUUUAUGUUGGAGUGGUGAGGAUGUUGAGAGGUCAAAAUGUUGCCACAACGUGUAGGACCUGAGAAGCUUCAGAAGACCAGUAGUAUAGCUGUUGUUUGGUACUGCAGAUAGGCUAAGUGGAGGGGCCCUAUGAUGCCUCUUUUGCACUAUCAGGUGAGUUUGAUCGAGUGUUAGGUUGUGAUCCAAACAUUCACAUACAGAGCGAAAUAUUUUGGGUAUGAGAUGGACUGGCCCCCAUGCCUUGUACCCUAAUUAUUCGUUCUCGAAUGUCGGGGAGGUGGAUCGAUGUGUGUCUUA